AGUGAACGCUGGCGGUAGGCCUAACACAUGCAAGUCGAACGGCAGCACAGUAAGAGCUUGCUCUUACGGGUGGCGAGUGGCGGACGGGUGAGGAAUACAUCGGAAUCUACUUUUUCGUGGGGGUUAACGUAGGGAAACUUACGCUAAUACCGCAUACGACCUACGGGUAAAAGCAGGGGAUCUUCGGACCUUGCGCGAUUGAAUGAGCCGAUGUCGGAUUAGCUAGUUGGCGGGGUAAAGGCCCACCAAGGCGACGAUCCGUAGCUGGUCUGAGAGGAUGAUCAGCCACACUGGAACUGAGACACGGUCCAGACUCCUACGGGAGGCAGCAGUGGGGAAUAUUGGACAAUGGGCGCAAGCCUGAUCCAGCCAUACCGCGUGGGUGAAGAAGGCCUUCGGGUUGUAAAGCCCUUUUGUUGGGAAAGAAAAGCAGCAGGUUAAUACCCCGCUGUUCUGACGGUACCCAAAGAAUAAGCACCGGCUAACUUCGUG
rnacentral:rRNA from 1 species